GUGUCUUAUUUCUUGGAGAUUUUCUUUUGGUUGAUCCACUGUUCUGUUCCUAACAUCCUCGUGCCAUUGGUUGUUUUGCCUGUUUCGUUUGAGCUCACGGUAGAAUGACAAGGUUUUUCUUUUUUUUUUUUGGGUGUUUUUUUGAGAAUAUUCGAAGCUGAAAAAUUGAUGUUUGAGGUUCUCAUUUAAUCUUGUUCUACAAUGUUCAGUCUGCUUAGAUGGUACAUUGCCCGGUUAUCAUCUUCACAAUGGCUCUGGAUCUGGUGCAAACAGUUGGGUGGUCCAUUUAGAGGGUGGGGGAUGGUGCAAUACAGUGACGAAUUGCGUUUACAGGAAAACUACUCGUCGUGGUUCAUCAAAGUUUGUGGACAAGGAAGUAGCUUUCACAGGAAUAUUGAGUAAUAAAGCUGAAGAAAACCCUGAUUUUUUCAAUUGGAACAGAGUAAGGAUACGGUACUGUGAUGGGGCUUCUGUCAAUGGAGCAGGCCAGGACGAGGUUG